CAAAAUGUAGCUUAAAUCAAAGCACCUCGCUUACACCAAGGUUACAUCUGUGUGAAUCAGAUCAUUUUGA
rnacentral:tRNA from 1 species